rnacentral:rRNA from 1 species
UGGUGGAGUGAUUUGUCUGGUUAAUUCCGUUAACGAACGAGACCUUGACCUGCUAAAUAGUCGCUCGAAUCUUUGAUUCGUGAUAGACUUCUUAGAGGGACUUUGCGUGUCUAACGCAAGGAAGUUUGAGGCAAUAACA